rnacentral:lncRNA from 13 species
GAGGGAAGACUGCAGGAGGGUGUGGACCUGAGCGAAAAAGAGAGAAAAAAGAGAGAGAGGCUGAGAGCCAAAGGAAACCAGGAGAAAAAGGUAGAAGAAAAGGAAGAGAAACUCUGGCUGAACAUCGGGCGUGACAACAGAGACAGAGAGAGAGUCACACGCUCGCUCGGCAGGAGUGUGUGCAGAUUGCCCUCUGUGUGCGUUUCACGUGUGUGUUGAGCAGGUGGGACUUUGAUGGGACAGUGAGCAAUGCCUCACACUCAGCAACAUCAGGUUGGCAGUAGGGGGCGACGCCCCCAUCUCCUCCUCCACCCUAUCCUCCUCCUCCCUCUCUUCUCUCUCCUCCUAUCCCACGCCCCCCAGCUCAGCCAAGGAGCCAUACACAUACCUUCUAACUUUAAGAAACCCCCAGUGAUCACCACCCAGCCUGAGUCCAUCACUGUGUUUGGUGCUGAAGACAUCCUCCUGACCUGCGAAGCAUCAGGGAACCCUCCUCCCGAGUUAGUUACCUAACACCAAACCCUUAGAAAAAAACUGCAGUUAAUAUAAAGUGCAGUGUGUUCCAAUUACCACACUUCACUGCUAUAACUACAGUAGAAAUGUGAUCUGUUUUUCUUAACUGUUUUGUAAGGAACAUGACAUGUAGUUUUUCAGACAUCUAGAAAUGUUCCAUUAGAAUUGCAUGAGAGCACAGCUCCUCAGUCACAGGCUUGCAUUCCAAAUGACACACUAUUACCUUUAAAGUGGACUACUUUUCACAUGGGCACUGGUUUAGGGAAUAGNNNNNNNNNNUACUCUCCCUCCCCGCUCCUACUCUUCUCACUCCCUUCCCCCUACCCUCCCUCCCCGCUCCUACUCUUCUCACUCUCUUCUCCCUCCCCUCCCUCCCCUCCCCUCCAGGAAUGCAUCACAUUGAGCUAAAUGAUCGUGUAACCCAGGGCCGGGACGGGAACCUAUACUUCUCUCACGUCACCGUCGAUGACACCCGUAUUGACUACACCUGUAACGCCCAGUACCUCAGCGCUCGCACCAUCCUCUCCAAGGAACCCAUCACCAUGACUGUUACAACCUGUAAGUACACCGUCACUCACCAUGGUAACACAGUACUAUAACUGUUAUGACCUAUAAUGCCCAGCACCUCAGCGCUCCAAACAAACUCUUUAAGGAACCCAUCAUCCUCACCGUCACAACCUGUAAAUACUAAACUAGACUGACCUCAGUAACCGUGGUAACACAAUGUAGACUGACCUUGGUCACCAUGGUAAUGCAGUACCAGUCAAUCACCCUGACCAUGAGUCACCACUAAUAAUGUCAGUCACCAUGGUAACAUACGAUAGCACCUGAAGGCCAUUUGUUAGCUACUGUACCGGUUGUCUCAACCCCUCCCCACAUGUUAGUUAAGAAGCCACUCUGAUAUUGAUAAACAGAGACACUGAUGGGACCGUAACCCAAGCCAAGGCCACCUGGGGGUAUAGGAGCAUGUCAGAUAUCUGUAGUGUUGCCUACAGUAGAGAGGCUAAUGAACAUAGAUGACAAGAAAAUAAUGUUCUUCUUACUCACGUACAUUUUCCCUGACACCCAAAAAUACUCGUUACAUUUUGAAUGCUUAACAGGACAGGAAAAUGUUCCAAUUCCCACACUUAUCAAGAGAACGUCCCUUGUCAUCCCUACUGCCUCUGAUCUGGUGGACUCACUAAACACAAACGCUUAGUUUGUAAGUUAUGUCUGAGUGUUGGAGUGUUCCCCUGACUAUCUGUAAAUUUAAAAAACAAGAAUAUCAUGCUGUCUGGUUGGCUCAAUGUGGAAUUUGAAAUGAUUUAUAGCAUUUACCCUACUUUACUGUUAAUACUUUAGUAUACUGAACAAAAAUAUAAAUGCAACAUGCAACAAUUUCAACGAGUUACAAUUCAUAUAAGGAAAUCAGUCCAAUUAAAUUGACAGCCACUUGACAGCCAGGCCCACCCACUUGACAGCCAGGCCCACCCACUUGACAGCCAGGCCCACCCACUUGACAGCCAGGCCCACCNNNNNNNNNNACAUGAAAUCUGAUAACCGAUAACGAUAACAUGAAAUCUGAUAACCGAUAACGAUAACAUGAAAUCUGAUAACCGAUAACGAUAACAUGAAAUCUGAUAACCGAUAACGAUAACAUGAAAUCUGAUAACCGAUAACGAUAACAUGAAAUCUGAUAACCGAUAACGAUAACAUGAAAUCUGAUAACCGAUAACGAUAACAUGAAAUCUGAUAACCGAUAACGAUAACAUGAAAUCUGAUAACCGAUAACGAUAACAUGAAAUCUGAUAACCGAUAACGAUAACAUGAAAUCUGAUAACCGAUAACGAUAACAUGAAAUCUGAUAACCGAUAACGAUAACAUGAAAUCCGGUGUCGUUAGUGAGACAGGCAAUAACUAUUAUGCAUGGGAGGAGUAAAUCACAGGAAACCCAGCUCUCAUAAAGACAUGUGUCACAAAACAAACAACACCUCACAGUGACGGGGUGCAAACAACUGAACUAAAUAGUUUGUGAUAAUGACAUACAGGUGUGUGAACGUGUGAUUAGAAUUCAGGUGAUUGGGAUCUGGAGAGUGAGCUGUGUUCAGGGAAUCUAGGUGUUUGAGAGUGGAAGCUGGAAAGUGGGCUGGAAUGUGAGCUGCGUUCAGGGGAUCUAUGUGUCUUAGGGUGUAAGUUGGAAGCAGACAUUACACUUACUACAGCAAGGGAGACAUGUAAUUUUACACUCAAGGGACUGUGUCAUUUUGUCUCUGCUUGUACUAGGUGGAACAAAAGCUCAAUUUGUAGAAGAAGAGAUGUAUAUUGACACGACAGUACAGAAGGCUCAGACUCAUUCCUCUAUUCAACUCAAACAGAGUUGAUUGCAGGAUUAAGCUGUCUUUAACUCUCUGUCUCUCUGCCUCUCUCUUUAUUUCUCUUGCUCUCCCGCUCCCUCCCUCUCUCAGUUUCCGCUGGACUAAAGAUGGGGAAGAAUUUAUCCCUGCCAAUGACCCGGGCCUGUCGGUGUCUCCGGGUUCUGGAACCUUCAUGAAAACCGGGGUGGUGUCAGGCCCCAUUAGCCAAUACAAGGGCAAAUACAGCUGCUACGCUGAAAACGCAUUAGGAACUGCUGUGUCUAACGAGGUCCAGCUCAUCACUGAGAGUGAGUAAAGCAGAAACUCCAGUCCAACAUUCCAAUGACCACCAACUAUGUUUUGUUCCAAUAUCCAUACUAGUACAACAGCUACAGUGCAUCCCCAUUACAUUGAUUCUUUUUUUUGUAUUAUGCUAGUGUGGAGAUUUGAACAGCUUGGAACUUGAACAUUCUUCCUUUUUUGCACAUUAGUAGAUCCCUUGGCUUGUGUCUGCUGCUGACAAUCAGUAGAUGAAUAAUUGUGAAAUCUCCCUCACAGAGAGACAAAGUAACACUGUGUGAGGGACAAGGUUAACCAAAACAUUUCCAUCACUUCUUUCAUAAAUCUUUCUAGAUUUGAGAGGUUUUUAAUGUCAAGGUGUGGAAAUGUAGGUUGAGACAUAAUGCAGCUGCUGAUAAAAGUCUUUGUGUCCUACAUUUAAUUUAGAAUGGAUAUUAUUUUAGCAAAGCUAUUGGUUUCUUUAUGGACAAUAACAUAACAAUUUCUAGUGCCAUGAUAAGAGCCCCCUAUAAAGCUGAGUGUGUUUUAUAGAGCACUGUUGACAACACGUGUGCUACUGAGGUUUAACACGUAUAUCCUGCUUACCUUCACCGGAAACACACACUCACACACACACAAAAAGAAAACCAGCCCCGUCGCGGACACCGAUAUCUUGCUUCCAGACAAAUUAAACAACUUCUUUGCUCGCUUUGAGGACAAUACAGUGCCACUGACACGGCCA